UACAGAGGUCCCAAGCGUUGUUCGGAUUCAUUGGGCGUAAAGGGUGCGUAGGCGGCGCGGUAAGUCGGGUGUGAAAUCUCGGAGCUUAACUCCGAAACUGCAUUCGAUACUGCCGUGCUUGAGGACUGGAGAGGAGACUGGAAUUUACGGUGUAGCGGUGAAAUGCGUAGAUAUCGUAAGGAACACCAGUGGCGAAGGCGGAGACCUGGGCCGAUACUGACGCUGAGGUGCGAAAGCGUGGGGAGCAAACAGG
rnacentral:rRNA from 1 species